UUCUAGAACUCUAAGUAUCUGAGCCCCGUAGCAACAACUGACAAGCACAUGACCACCUGAGCACAUGCAGGAGUGGGCAGAGAGGAGAAACAGGAUUGAGCCAGAGUAGUAAGAUCUUAGAAGGAAAGCACACUGAGGGAUUCAGCCAAGAUCUUGCCCUAGAUCUCGUCUCCUUCACAGCAAGGACUGGCAACAGCAGUGACUGCAGGGCCACUUGA
rnacentral:lncRNA from 1 species